GACCAAAUGGUGUAGUGGUUAUCACGUCAGUCUCACACACUGAAGGUCUAGGGUUCAAUUCCCUGUUUGGUCA
rfam:Cochliobolus heterostrophus C5 unplaced genomic scaffold COCHEscaffold_3, whole genome shotgun sequence.